ACGGAAGCUUGGCGAGGCCAAGACCCAGCCGGAAGAGAAGGCUAGAUCUCCCGACCCAAGCUCCUAGCACGGAUACCGAGCACCCACGCGGAGCACAUGCCGCGGAAUAGGCAAAAGUGUUGCGGACCUGCGUAGUUUCGAAAAGCGGACGGCCACGACGGCCCUUUGGGUGGGGUUGCAGCCGUAGCGCAUCGCAAAGACGCCGAGGUCACCCACGCAACCCACAUCGCACGCUUGGUCACUCGGGGUCCGUGCUAGCGGGCGGCGAACCGGACAUUGUCCGGGACGCCGCCCGAUUUCUUUU
rnacentral:ncRNA from 1 species